CACAAGCGGUGGAGCAUGUGGUUAAUUCGAAGCAACGCGCAGAACCUUACCAGCCUUUGACAUCCUAGGACGACUUCUGGAGACAGAUUUCUUCCCUUCGGGGACCUAGUGACAGGUGCUGCAUGGCUGUCGUCAGCUCGUGUCGUGAGAUGUUGGGUUAAGUCCCGCAACGAGCGCAACCCUCGUCCUUAGUUGCCAUCAUUAAGUUGGGCACUUUAAGGAAACUGCCGGUGAUAAGCCGGAGGAAGGUGGGGAUGACGUCAAGUCCUCAUGGCCCUUACAGGCUGGGCUACACACGUGCUACAAUGGCAUCUACAGUGGGCAGCUAUUCCGCAAGGAUGCGCUAAUCUCCAAAAGAUGUCUCAGUUCGGAUUGUCCUCUGCAACUCGAGGGCAUGAAGGCGGAAUCGCUAGUAAUCGCGGAUCAGCAUGCCGCGGUGAAUACGUUCCCAGGCCUU
rnacentral:rRNA from 1 species